UUGAUUCGUUGUUUUUGAACGAAUCGUUCACUCACGAGCCGCUUGCCGUAUCGGGGCAGGGCACUCGCUAACAAGCGUAACGCUCUGCUUGGUUGCUGUUUACUUGGUAUUAUUGUAGUUUAACCUAACCGUGCAGCCAUCUCUAAUUAGUUUCUCACGACGUCUGUACAAGAGCGUACAUGCAGGAGCUUCAACGCGUUCUGUUCGCUAACUGCGAGUGCUAACACUUGCAAGCUAGCCUCUACGUCACACCUAUUGGAGCCUGUAAAACAGAGAAGAUGGCUUUAUCGAGGACACAAGAUGCGUGUUCAGGCGAUGACGGUGGCGGAAUGCGGUUAUCAGAAAUGGACAACCGGUGCGGGGGCGACGAAGCGAGCCAAGGCGAGAUAAUUGGCUCCUCUGGGGACGGAGGAGAGCUAAAAACGUGUGUGUUGGAGGGCUUCGGUGAGCGGGACGAGGUCGAGGCUCUCAUCGCGGGUCUGCCAGACGUCCACGGGGAGCUGACCGGUCGGGAGUCCGCCACGGAGAAGUUUCAGAAGAUUCUUGACCGAUAUCAAGAUCAGCCUCAUCUGCUGGACCCACACUUGGAGUGGAUGGUGAACAUGUUGUUGAACCCGGUGAGGUGUGAGGACUGCCCUUCUACCUUGUUUCAUUUGGCCUUCAAAUUCCUCUACAUCGUCUGUAAGGUGCGAGUUUACAAAAUCUUCAUUCGGCGUUUGCCUCACGAGGUCGCCGACAUGGAGCCUGUUCUGGGUUUGCUGUCCAAACAGGAUCCGACAGACACACAGACAUGGUCGACACGCUACAUUCUGCUGCUGUGGCUAUCCAUGACCUGCCUCACACCCUUUGACCUUUCUCGCCUGGAAGACGGCCGCGCCAGAGAGCCCAUCAUGGAGCGCAUCCUCGCUAUUGCUAAGUCCUAUCUCGGUGUCAGCGAUAACUGCAGGCUUGCUGCUUCCGUCUUGGUGUCAAAGUUCAUGACGCGGCCAGAUGUGCUCAAGAAGCACCUUGGAGGCUUCCUGGACUGGAGCCUUAACACGAUAGAACAAAAUAAUGACCAGUCCCUGGACGCCAUCAGGCUGCUGGAUGGUGCUCUUCAGUCUCUGGCGAUGCUUUUCCAGCACGGCAAGCGGGAGGAUCUCUUAGCGCACGCUUGUCGAGUUUUGCACUGUCUCGAAGCAAAAGGGCUCUCGAAGAGCAGCCAAGCCACUCUGAGGAAGCUCAACGUCAAACUGAUCCAACGACUUGGCCUCACCUAUCUGAAGCCUCGCUUGGCCCCUUGGAGGUACCAGAGAGGAAGCAGGUCCAUAGCAUCCAGCCUUUUGAGCAGCCCAGCCGCCGACACCCUCCAAGAGACCACGCGAGGGGAGGACCACUAUGAUAUCCCACAAGAGUUAGAGACUGUUAUUGAGUAUCUACUGGCCGGGCUCAAAGACAGGGAGACAAUCGUGCGUUGGUCUGCGGCAAAGGGUGUUGGCAGAGUGACUGGGAGGCUUCCCAAGGAGCUGGCGGACGAGGUGGUGGCGUCAGUGCUGGACUGCUUCAGCUUCCAGGAGACGGACAGCUGGCACGGCGGCUGUCUGGCCCUUGCCGAACUUGGUCGGAGAGGCCUCCUGCUGCCCUCCAGAUUAAGCCAGGUGGUGCCGCUCAUCACCUUGGCCCUGACCUACGAUGAGAAGAGGGGCGCAUGCAGCAUUGGCUACAACGUGCGCGACGCCGCCUGCUACGUGUGCUGGUCCUUCGCCAGGGCCUACGAUCCCAAAGAGCUCCGGCCCUUUGUCAACCAAAUCGCAAGCUCUUUGCUGGUGGCGGCCACGUUCGAUCGAGACGUCAGCUGCCGCAGGGCCGCCUCAGCUGCUUUCCAGGAAAACGUUGGCAGGCAGGGGACGUUCCCUCACGGCAUCGACAUUGCAACGGCGGCGGACUUUCACGCUGUGGGCAUUCGCAACUGCUGUUACCUGAACACUAGUGUUUACAUUGCCAGUUUUCCUGAGUACACCAAAGCCAUGAUUGACCACUUGGUCGUCAAGAAGGUCAACCACUGGGAUGGUGCGAUUCGAGAGCUCACCUCCAAAGCGCUUCACAACCUGACGCCUCAAGCACCUGACUACAUGGCGGCCUCGGUUCUGCCACAGCUGUUGAAGAUGGCGGCGGCGGCAGACCUUCAAGGUCGCCACGGAGCCAUCUUGGCGUGUGCGGAGGUGACCUAUGCACUCUACAAACUAGGCCUCUGCACUGGCAGGACUGUCAUGGACAUGGUUCCCUCCGACUGUGUGGUGGCUUUGAAGGAUCUUCACCAGAAAAUCCAAGACAGGAAACAGUACAGGGGCUUUGGUGGAGAGCUGAUGAGGCCAGCCAUGUGCCGACUUAUUGAGACGCUUUCCUUGUCCAAAAUGCCGUUCAAGAACGAGCCGGUCAUCGCCGGCUGGCAGGCGCUUGUUGACGACACCAUCGGGUCACUUCAUCUGCUCUUAGGCCGUGUCAAGGACGGCGUCUUGGAUGCCGCGCUGCGUGCCCUGUCUGCCUUGUGCAAGGAAUACUACCAGGUCCGGCCCGGCCAGGCUGACCCAGAGCAGCAGAGCGCACUCGUCACUCGCUAUACGGAGGAGCUGCGGAGUCCGCAGAUGCUCAGUCGUUGCAGCUCUGCCCUCGCCCUCGGCUGUCUGCCGGGCUUUAUGAGCCGCGGCAAGCUCAAGCAGAUCUUGGACGGCCUUGGCCAGAUGCACGCCGCCUGUCUGCGCGAGCGCCGUUUCCCGGAGGCCAGGAGGGACGCCGUCCAAGCGCUGUCCCAAGUAUGUCUGAAAGCGGGCGUUUGUACCCGCGGGUCCCCGGCAUCCUUUCUGUGCUCGGAGAACAUUGCCCACGUGUACGCCGUCCUGCUGGACAGUAUGGACGACUACGCCACCGAUAGGAGAGGGGGCGUGGGCGCCUGGGUGAGAGAGGCCGCAAUGACGAGUCUGAAGGAUGUGACAAUCCUGGUGACACAAACAGCCCCAGAGAUUCUCCUCCCAGAGCAGGUGAAGUGCAUGAUGGGCAAGCUGGCGCGGCAGUCAGCUGAGAAUAUCGACCGCUACAGAGCGCACGCCGGCGCCAUCUUCACGCAGCUCCUGCACCACUCCGACCCGCCUAUUCCGCACAUCCCCCACAAAGAGGCGCUGUUAAGCAUCUUUCCACUGGAUGUCAAAUCCAGUCUGAACUGGAAAGCGCCAUCCCAAGCCUUUCCAUAUAUCACCCGGCUACUUGGACUGCCCGAGUACCGUGACCAAACCUUGCUGGGCCUCACCGUGUCAGUGGGUGGGAUGGCUCAAUCCACAGUGACGGCCUCCUCCCAGUCUUUGCUUGACUUCCUGCGUGGGAUCCAAGGUGACCGCGCCGCCCUGGAGCACUUUGCCAUGGAUGCCCUGAUUCAAAUCCUGAGAGAAAAUGAUGUCCUUUUCAGAAUCGCCCUCCCUUUCCUCAAGAUGUUGAACCUGCUGUUGUCUAACGGCUGCUUUGACAUCUUCACCUCGGAAAAAGAUCACCCUUUCUGCGUGGAGCUGCUGUCGCUGUGCCGAGUGGUUGGGCGGUCCAAGGACGUGUAUAAGCUGCGCGCCUGUGUCACCGUCUACUGCGGUCUCAUCCAGUUCCCGGGCCAGGUCCGCAAAGAGGUCUUGGAGGAGCUGCUGAUGCUGCUCUGCAACUCCUUCCUCUUGGUUAGAACAACAACUGCCAGGCUGAUGUACGAGAUGCUGCUGACAUACGACGACGUCGUCGUUCCUGACUUUUUGGAUGAGGUCAUGAACCUGCUCAGCGAUACCGACUGGGAACGUGAACCUGCCACUCUGCACCCCACUAGAAAUAAGCUACAUCAUUUGCUGGGAGUCUCCAUGAAACCUCCCGUUGCUCAGAACAUGUCCCCAGAGAGUCAGAAAAUGGACGGAUGACAUUGCGUUGAAUGCUAUCGUGGAACAGGAUGUCCAGACAGGGAGGACAUCUCAAGCCCGGUGAGGAACGCGAAUAACAACUCGUCGUUGUGGUCCAGACCCAACUGCCCACAACUGAGACCAGACACCUGCGCUGAGCGGAAAAACCCAAACGAGGAGGAGAUGACGACAACCAAUCAUCACACAAUAUUUUGCAUGCUUGAAUAUUCAUAUUGUGUUUCUUUAAAACUGGGCAACCCGGAAGAAUGAGUUGUCUCUUGGUGGUCACAGAAGGCACACGAGUUUUUGUGUUAAGGACCCGGGGGACCCUGGCACCUGUAUUAGCUUGCUUUGUCAGGAUUAAACAAUUGGUAAAUUCGGCCUAAUUGAUCUACUGGUCUUCUCUUUGACAGAAUGAACUCGCAAAAUUGUUAGGUGUGACAGUGUGUGGAUUUGACAUAACAAUUCUUGUGUUAAGUGUUGAUCGCAAUUUGGAGUCAGAUCAAUAACUAAAAUCCGUAGCCUAACAGGUCAAACGCGCAUGCGUGUGAUGUGAUCCCGCAAAGGAGGAGGGACAAACCCAUUUGAGGAGUGUCAAUUUCGCUCUCAAAAUGGCUAGGAAAAAAUGCACAGCUAAACGAAUAUAUGACGAUGAACACAGGGCAGAGCGAUUGGUUUUGCUGGCUUUUUAAUGAAUGGCGACUGUGACUACGGGGGCCCAUUAGGUCCAGAAAAGCUGACAAGACGCUAAGCCAGGGGUGGCCAACUCGGCCAAAAUAGCAAGGAAAAAAUGCACAGCUAAACGAAUAUAUGACGAUGACCACAGGACGUUUUUAAGUUAAAGUUGUUUUUUGUUGAACGUAAUGGCAAACCAUUCUGCUUGAUAUGUCGGACGUCAUUAGCGCAUUUAAAAGCUUCAAAUGUUCAGCGCCACUUCAGCUCACUUCAUGCCAAUAUCGAUAAGGACUUUGCAAAAGGGACUGAAUUUUGCAAGCACAAGUUUGGACACUUUGAAAAGUCAGGCAGAAAAAUAGGUACAGUUUUUCCAAAAAAUUACGAAGCACUCAGAGACUGUCACACUUGCAUCGUUUCAACUGGCUUGGAACAUUGCACGGGCUAAAAAGCCAUACAAUGAAUGCCUCAGUGACGUUAUUGAAAAUCUUGUCUCCUGAAAACGACAAACCAAAACAAAUGGUCUCCAGAAAGAGGGGAUGGUGAGUCGUCGGGGAAGUGCUGGUUAAAAGACCAGUGCUGGCUCAGUGGCCUAGUGGUUAGAGUGUCCGCCCUGAGACUGGAAGGUUGUGGGUUCAAUCCCCGGCCAAAGACUGUAAAAAUGGGACCCAUUGUCUCCCUGCUUGGCACUCAGCAUUAAGGGUUGGAAUUGCGGGUUAGAAGGAGUGGAGCUCUUUACAAGCCCUAGGCUUCGUCUCCCUCCUUGCACAGUUAUUGAUAUAUGUCCUAAACAAUAAACUAACUAAGGAUCCCAGCUUUGUGUGGAAGCAGCAGUGUACCGGGUGGUGGUGUUAAGUCGACCCCGACUGCACCCGCACAUGGCAGGCCCCAGUGUGCCAUGGUGGCACACAGCUGAGCCACGGCUGGUGAGUGGAGACUCCUCCCGAGGACGCCGGCCGGAUGUCCAGAGCUGGGCCAGAGCUGUUGCAGUCAAUAGAUCAGACGCCAGCGUUGCUCUUAACCCGGAAGACAACAGAUGGCGGGGGAGGGGAUGGGGGAAAUCUCACACCCUUCUGUCUCCGACUUCAUUCAAUUAUUGCUAACCUUAUUAUAACAUCACAUACGUAUAAAUGUCACAAAGAGUUGCCGUUAAAGCGGGUGGGGUUCUACAGGGCUUUGGGUUUUGACACUAUUGUCAAACUGGGAAACAUUGUCGUCUCAAACAUGAGUCCGUGUGAGUUAUUUCAUCCUAGACCGAAGAAAGGUGCGGCAGACGUCUUGUCGCAACACGCUCGCUUGUUUGCUCAUCGGGGAGUUGUUUGGAGACAGCCACUGGCACAAACCGCUGCAAAGGCUCGAUGAAUCAAAGAACGUCUUGUCAGUUGGAACAACAGCCCGCACGGGUGUCACCGGCCAGGGCGGGGCCCCUUGACGACGCACGCGGCCCCAAGCCAGAAUUGUACGCCAUUUCAUCUGUCAUCAUGUGCUCAUCUUCAGCCAGUCGCAAAGUACCAGUUACAAACGGAUGGUUCUGCUUCUCCUCAUUGUAUGGCUUAGGUUCUCCUAAGUCCGCAUUUGUUGGAUUUGGCAAGAGUGAGUGAGUGAGUGAGUGAGUGAGUGAGUGAGUGAGUGAGUGAGUGAGUGAGUGAGUGAGUGAGUGAGUGAGUGAGUGAGUGAGUUAAUGAAAUGCAGCCAAUUGGAAGUGAAUUAAUGAAAUGCAGCCAAUUGGAAAGUUAUUUGGCUGAGCUUUUUGUGUUUGCUCCCAGAAGUUGAUAAAAGAGAGAAAGGUGUGAUCAGGGUGACAAAUUGAAAGCGCAACUUGCAGUAUGACGGUUCUGACACCCAUUCGAAUCCAACAAUCUCCAUCACCAACCACCUUUCGUUGGACACGGUCACAGAGUCCAUUUUGAAACGGAGAACCUCUUUUUGCAUAACUUAACAAAUUGGCCCAGAUUACUUGAAGUCACUUCAACUCCAUCUUGGAAAUGGGCUAGAAUGAAGUCAGUUGUGAGAGACCAAUGAGGGAUUUUGCUGUCCCCUCAUGAACCUGCGUUAUUUUCAAACCUAUGUGAUGUAUGUACGUCUGCCAAAUGUCAUUACUGGGGAUGAAUGUUACAAUUUUUUUUUUUUGAAGUUGUGCAACAUGAAUAGCAACGUCACCAGCCAGAACAAGUUAUUUCAGCAGGACACCUCCAUGUACGUUUCUAUGUGCAUGGAUCAGUGUUAGUCCGAAUCGAGCCCUGUUAUGGUAAAGGCAGAUAUUAGACAGAUUGGAUAAUUUUCUCUUGAAAAACGACAUUGAUUUGUGUCUACUUUCUUUGUUUUGAAAGAGUUUGUCUUCCUCCUCUGCAUAAAUGACCACUAUACAAGUCAAUAAGAAGGGAGCGACUUUGGAUGCCCCCCCCCCCCCCCCCCCCUCUCACUUUUUCGAGGACUUGUCACACACACCUCUGAUUUAAGGACACGUGUUUGAUCUCAGCAAAAACUAUGAGCUUGAAUUCUUGAACGCGUCUUUAAGGGAGGUGCAAGAAGGAAGUGAAGGGGGCGCGGUGUGGGAGGAGCGCUCACGGGCACAGUCGCAGCUCCGAGCCUCCGAGGUCGUUUGACGGAGGAUUGAAAGCGGAGAGCCCAAGACGACGGAGAAGCAAAUCCUCUGCCCUAAGCCGAGUGGACGGCUGCGAGGAAAUGUGGCGGCGGACUUUGAAGCCACUUUGAGGCGAAGGAAGACCAACAUGCAUAGCCAGCCGCUGCUAGACGCCUCCUGUUUACCUCGCCUCGCCGUCGUCGACUUCGUUCUCAGCCGAUGUCGGACUUCUCUCUGCCAGUAUUCGAGCGACCAGUGCAGCUGGAAGGGCAGGUGAUCAAUAACCAUGAUAAUCAAGAAUAAGGACGAGAAUAAAAUGCACGUUCCAUCCACGCACUUUACACAAACACUCUUGAGUUGCACUCUUAUAGCAACUUAUGUAGCUAUCUGGUACACAAGCGUCACAAUUGGCCUACAUAGCAAUGGAUCACAAAAUAUAGUAAUAUAUAUACAAAAAUACAAAAGCGAUCAAAUAUUCAGGGAGCACAAAUCUCGCCGCACAUUUAAAGAAAAAACACGACAUCAAAGUUGCGAUUCAUUCACGAUAUAUCGCGAUAUAGUGCUCUACGAUCGACAUAUUAUUUUUUUAAUAAAAAAUAUAGAACAAUAUCCUGAUUUAUAACAAUUCAUACGCAAAAUCAACAAGGUACUGCAAACUCUUUAUUUAGGAAAUUACAAGAGUAUUGCAGUAUACAAAGUGCUUAUUUUAACACUGAACUUUGAUGUCGUGUUUUUUCUUUAAAUGUGCGGCGAGAUUUGUGCUCCCUGAAUAUUUGAUCGCCGCAUGGCAGGAUUUACAAACUGCACGUGUCUUGUCGGUUGAGCCAUAUUUUCUUUGGAAUCCAAAGUGCUUCCACACGAAUGACUUGAAGCCUAAAGGGGAGCAAAUUUCCUCGUCUUUUUAGACACUAGCCAUAGCACCAGCCCAGGAGCCGCGUACUAGUUGUUGACUCCCCUUUCACGUGCGUGCUCUGCUCACGACACAACAACGCCGCUGCACUGCUCCCGGAGAGAGGAAGCAAGCAACAAUGAACUGGAUUUCAAAAUAAAGUCGCGUCUAAUGUCCGAGGUCAAACACGGCGAUAUAAAUCGAUGUUUACCUUUAGCAUCGAUGCCAAUAAAUCGUAGAGCAUUAUAUCGAUUAGUCGAUGUGUAUCGAUGUAUCGUUACACCCCUAGUCUUGUCCCUUGAGCCAUCUUUUCUUUGGAAUCCAAAGUGCUUCCAAACGAAUGACUUGAAGCCUAAAGGGGAGCAAAUUUCCUCGUCUUUUUGGACACUAGCCAUAGCACCAGCCCAGGAGCCGCGUACUAGUUGUCGACUCCUCUUUCACGUGCGUGCUCUGCUCACAACACAACACGCGCAGUGCGCUCCCGGAAAGAGGAAGCAAGCAACAAUGAACUGGAUUUCAAAAUAAAGUCGCGUCUAAUGUCCGAGGUCAAACACGGCGAUAUAAAUCGAUGUUUACAUUUAGCAUCGAUGCCAAUAAAUCGUAGAGCAUUAUAUCGAUUAAUCGAUGUGUAUCGAUGUAUCGUUACACCCCUAGUGUUUAUAUAUAUAAUUUUAGAAUUAGUGAUUCAUGCAUUAAAUUUAUCCUCUAACAUUAUCAUUGCCAUACUUCUGCCAAUUAGACUUUCUUCCGAAAAAGGGAAGUAGGCUCGCUACUUCAUCUACUCAGUAGAGUGGGGCCUUGUCAAAAGUAUUUAAUUUUAUCGGGCCACGUCAAAAGCCACUUUGGAUGAUUUUGAGGGAUUAAUUUGCCUUCAAAAUUAAUUGCAGGAUAAUAAUAAUUCGAUUAAAUCAUUUUAACUCGUAUUAAGUAAAAUAUUAUUUUGUUGGAAACAAUCGAAUUUGUGGAAGCACUCCCACGGUUAAGUGUUUAUAUAUAUAAUUUUAGAAUUAGUGAUUCAUGCAUUAAAUUUAUCCUCCAACACUAUCAUUGCCAUACUUCUGCCAAUUUGACUUUCUUCCAAAAAAAGGCAAGUAGGUUCGUUACUUCCUCAAACCCGUAGAGCGGGGCCAUAUCAAAAGUUACUUCGACAAAAGUAGUGCUAUGGUGCGCUAGACGAACGAAUCCCUGAGGCCUUAACAAACGCAUCUAAAAAAUAUCCGUAACGUAAUACCAGCAUCAAACAACUGAAGGGAGCCAUCAUUACGGCGCGGUCAUUUCGACAACUUGCCUCGAAUUGAGUUACUCGGCUCGCGCCUCGGAUGACUUUAGCGGGAUUGACGUCGUAUAGAAGUUAGGUUGAUUCCAAUAGAAUUAAUUUAUCUCGGAUGGUCAGCUACGGACUAGUCCCUUCACUCCCGGCUUAUUAAACCCGUUACCGGGGAGCCGGAGGCACUUCGAUAAAAAGUGCGCGUUUGACUAGGAGGAGUGUCAUAGUUGGAACACAGGCGCUGUAUGACCUAUAGAUUGAACCAGGGCUGUGGACUCGGUCGGACUUUUUGCACCGAGUCCGGCCUCUUGACCAUGAGUCCGAGUCUGAGUCCGAGUCCGGCUGUCCAUUAAUUCUGUUAAUUCAUGUGACUGCUUAGUCUUUAUUCAAGGCUAAUUUAGAUCAAAAUCUAAAUAAUUACAACAGUUUUGUGAUGGCUUUGUCUUUAUUAAACAUAUAAACGAAUACAAUAAACAGAUACUCAGAUACGUCAGUCAAUUUUAAUUUUUCUAAAGGAUUAUUCUCAUUUGAUGCCAUCCGCGUUCUGCCAUUGAAGCGGGGUGCAUUCAAAGACCAGUCGUACAGACGGAACACUCAUUCACUCCACCAAAACGCAACAAUAUAAUUACGUGAGCUCUUUGCAUAAACCUCGAUGCAAAGAAACUACCGUUUUUUUCCGUGUAUAAUGCGCCCCCAUGUAUAAUACGCACCCUAAAAAUGGCAUGCUGAUGCUGGAAAAAAACUUGUACCCCCGUAUAAUACGCACCCAAUUUUUAUGAAUUUUUUUUAAUUUUUAUUGUAUUUUUUUUUUUUAAUUUUUUUAAGUCCCAAUGAUCGUCACACACGCAGGGAGGCAAUGGGUCCCAUUUUUAUAGUCUUUGGUAUGGUCUUAUCUAGGCUGGAUGUAAUUGUUUUUGGUGGCGUUGAUUUCUCCGACUGCCCAUAAACGCACCACCGUGCACGCAUGUAAAAAAGGCGUGCGGACGUGAAAAAGGCUGCUCUGUAUGGGAGAGACGUUGAAGAAGAAUAAAAACACCCUUGGAAACCAAAACUUGCCCCUCGUCGUGACUCGGAGCCGCAACAAAUGUGUCGGAUUUGUGUAGGGUACAUUGUGACAGACAGCAAACGAGCAGGUGAUCGAGCAAGCGUCUGAUACGAGAGCAUUGCGGUCGUAUGGAGCGUGUUUGAAGUGAACAGCAGAGACGAAAGGAACAAGGCAAUGUGUUGUGAAAUAAAAUAUUACAUGUAAUACGCAUUUUGUUAUUUGCUGAUUGAAACUGCUAAUUAAACUGUGAAUCGAGACUAAUAAGAAGAAAACAACUCUUUAUAUAGCUGACGUGUCUUGCGCAUCCGUUCUGCGCAUCGGAUCCAUAGUGCGCAUGCGCAGUUAUACGUCCGGUCCGCGAUGGAGAUUAAAAAACAAACAAUAUUUGACAAUAACACACCAUCAAGGAUUGCACCAUCGCAUCAAACGAUGUGUCGUCAAUUAUAAAUUUUACUAAGUGUGUUGGGCAGGAUGCGCGAUUGACAACAAACAAGAAGAAAUGUGAUUUCAAGUUUUAUUUCGGGGGAGAUUUGUCAUGUCUCGUCCCCAGUUUUGCUAUGUGUCUAGGUUGCCGUAGUUUCUGUUCGCGUCGCCCCUCUCUUCCUGUGUCACCUCAAUUGAUGUCACGUGUUUUGUAUUUAAGUCCUGUCUUCCCCUCGCUCACCGUCGGAUCAUUGCAUGUGUUACUGUCAUGAUGUGGUUUCUGUUCCUGUCUUUGGUAAUGUCACCCUGUCUUUUUGUUCCACGACUUUGUCGGUCAGUCCUGUUGUUGGUUUUGUUGUACCAUGACUUUCUUUAAAAAAAAUAAAAAAGAUAAAAAUAAAUAAAAAUUUAAAAAAUUUUGUACCCAUGUAUAAUGCGCACCCCAGAUUUUAGGACAAUAAAUUAGUUAAAUUUUCCGCACUAUACACGGAAAAAAACGGUACUCUUUUUGGGUACAGGCUACAAGGAGUAUAUAUUACAAAGGAGACUUUAUACUUAAUUGUGAUCAUCAUUCAUCCAUCCAUCCAUUUUAUUGUAUUACUCAGGUAUUUUCAAAGCAAAUUAAUAUUGUUGCAUUUAUUAAUUUGCUUUAACAUGACAGUGUGGUGAAUGGUCUUUGUUGUUUCGCUGGUCUCCAAAAAAACACUCAGUGGACGAUGGCUGGUCCGGGUAAGGAAGCACUUCGGUGACACACGGCUGAUUGGGAAAAGAUUUAUUCAACCGAUGUCAAAGUGAUGUCUCUCCAAAAGUUAGGGUGGCCCCAAGAGCAAAGAUGUUUCAGCUCUUGACAGCACAGAUGUUCGCCCCAAAAAGGCCCCCGCGCUUCUUGCUCUUGCCCCUUGCGCCCUUGCGCGCCCGCUCUUGUCCUUCGCGCCCUCCGCGCUCCUGCGCGCUCCUUGCUCUUCGCGCUCUCGUUCUCCUCUCUAUCUGUUCUCCCCCAUCAUUUGUACCUCGUAAGACAACAGCUGCGGUCCGAGUCUCACUCUACUGGUUACUUCCGAUGCCCUUAAAAGUGCAUGGACAAAGGUCUUCCUGGUCACGGACGAAUGGCUCUUCCAUAUUCUAAGUACCUACACAUUACUGAAACUAGAGCUUCUUUGUACCGCGAAAAUAGCUUAGGGUCUUCUCACUGCUGCAAGGUCGCCAUUUAAGGUGACAUACAGUGACGCAUAGAAUCCAAAAUUUACCUCAUUCCCUCCUCCGGGACUUUAUAAAUGUCCCGAAAACGGUCCAAAAAGAGAUGACAUCGGUAAACAUCCAAAAAUCUUCACCCAACCAAAUUUUCUGAUCACGUCUACAAUUUGGCCUAUACUUGCACAGCCUAUAUCACGCUCGAGGCAUGCUACUUAAGGUUAUUUUAACUAGGAAAGCUCAAACUACUUUGGUAUCCAAUUGCUCCCUGACAGCAAUCUGAGGUCUCUCAGGAACCACAAAUAAAGAAAAUUGAAGUCCACAUUAUCCAAAUGACGAUAACCACCCCCCUUAGGUAAUAUCUCAAUACCGUCGAUAAUUUGCGAAGUAAUGAAUUUGGCGUGGUCCGUUAGAAACCUCAAAAAGUUGCCGGCCCUCCCUCGAGAAAAAACCCUGCCAGUCUAAUGACACGGAAAAAGAGGGAGGCCCUUUCUAACAUCCUCAGUGAUUCCUUCCACCUGGCGUCAGCCAGGUACAAGGAGUCUUGGCACAUAUCACAAUCCACAAAACAGUAUGAGCUCACAAAACAGAAGGAAAAUAAAUGACAAGUUCACCGACCGCUAAACAGUCAAACUGCAUUGUCAAUGUUAACAUGUGAAAAGUUAAAUGAAUAAGAUAAAGUAAUUGCAGCAUGUAGUCAUCAGAUAAAGUACUGAUUGGUAAAAUAUUGACGCAAUAUCACAGCAUACUGAAACGUUGAAGCGCCCUCAGUGUUGCCCCCCUUGCAUAUGUAAGUGCCUGUUGAUGCAAAGUCCAGUCCACUGAAUGCUCAGUAGUGAAUUUGCCCCGGGAUCACUGCUCAGGGCCUGCCGUCCAUCCAAAAUCUUUAUGUCCACUCCACCGUCCUCAGAGUCUCUUUCCAGGCCCCGGUCAGCGUCCACGGGGUCUGCAAUAAUCGGGAGCCACUGCCAGUAUUUAACAAUGACAACAGCACAAAACCUUGAGUUGCAAUGAAAAAAGCAGCUAUGCCCAGCGUAGGCCGGAAGUCCUCCCGGCCCCCUUCGGUCACCCCCAGUAGACGACAUCUCCAUAACCAUUCGUCUGCAAACCAAAUCUUCUCUUUUGGGAUUGAUUGGGGCACGGGGACGACUGGUGGUCGUCGUCUCAUCGAAGUGGUCAGUAGAACCUCCGAGGCGUUCUCGGCAUCUACUCCUAUGACCCAGAGGCCCACGUGAUCCCUGAAACAAACAAACAAACAAACAAACAAACAAACACUCCCCCUAGGAGUUAUGAAUAAUCCCCCUUAUUUCUCGUUGUGUUGUCAGUCUCGCAAGAUCCCUCCUGUAGCAGAGUAACUUCUGCCUGUUCAAGUUAGUCUUUCCUGCUGCAGCUGUCACUGUCUGAAGUCCGGUCAAUCAGUCUUUGCAAUUGCUUUUUCCCAGUCCAAAUCUUAAUUUCUACUCCAAAUUUUCCUCUUUGAUUCCAAUUUUUCUCAGUAUUCUCAAAUGGGCAUCAGUCCUGUCAGUUUUGUUAACCCAAUUUGUUUAUGUACAUUAUCUUUGUCUCCCCUUCAAGUCAUCUUACUGUUCAAAUCAGUCGCCCUUUUGAAUGAACCUGUAAUCUUCCCAAAAUGAUUCAACUAUUCAACUCUUUUCAACAUUUGUUAUGCAACUUAACCCUCUUAAAAUGUGUUCUUAAAUACUUUCCCUUCAUUAGCAGCUUUAAUGCAUUCAUAUGUUAAGAAAUUAUCCCUAUUGCUUGUUUCUGGUCCAGUUUCCUAUUUUAUUUAAUUACCUUUGAAACAUUUGUUGUCUAUUGCGCUGCAGUCUAAUCCCUAUUAGCUGUAUGAGUUGUCAUCAUUCGUGCUUUUCCGUUGAAACACUUUAACCGUUACUGUCGCUAGGUUGUUACCACGCUUUGCAUCCAUUCCAGAUUGUUGUCUCCCAUUAACUCCUUUCCUUUCGAGAUGCUUCUUCUGCUCCUUCCAUCACUGCCUGUUGAAUUCUGGCACGUUCUGUUAAAGCCUCAAAAAUAAUUGAAUCCGAAAAAACAUUGAAUGUCGCAAAUAGCUUUUAUAUCUACUUACUCAUUUAAAUGUAACUCCCCCCCCUCUGACACAUUCACUCAAUGUGUCAUCAGGCAUUCAAAAAGGAACCGGCAAAACGUCCUACCGCAUCAUCAUGUGCCUUGCAGCCAGUUUGUCGAACCUUUCACUCAUCCAGAACCGUCAUCCCCAAGUUCCUGAAAAUUCAGUUCACCCCACACUCGGCAACAAAACAACAAUCAUCGCACUCCUGCCAGUGAGCAUACAGCCCUGCUGACAGCGGACCCUUGUGCUCACAAAAAGUACACAGGCAUAGAGUAUCAAAAUAAAACAUAGACACACAACGAAUCAUGGCGCCCGGGGAUUCUGUCCUGAAAAUCCUCAAUCAUCACAAAAAUCAAAAGGGUUAGGGUUAACAUUUUAACGUGAAUUCAAUAUAAACUCUCCAAGACUGCAAUCGCCAACCUGCAAAAUUAUUACAAGUUAUAAAACAGCCAGCAAUCUGCUCCUUGGCUGGUGGUUGAUGCUGCAAUAAGUCAAGUGACGCACAGAAACAAAGCAAAACUUGCACUUGCCACACGCAACCUUAAGUUUCAAAUGUUUGGUUGUCAUCCACAUAGUCAGUCAUCCCGUCGGGUGAGUCCAAGUCUGUCAUGUCAUAUCGUCCAUUGUCCUAGCGUUUGAUAUUAGUCCUGUCUUGUCCAUUCGUGUUGCUGAAAUGGGCCUUCUCCAUGAACUAUUUUGUUGUUCAUGGUGCCUCUGAUUAACCAUCAGCUGUUGGUUAAGGUUACAACUCAUCACUCAUAAAACGUGGGUGUUCCAGUCUCAUGUGAGAGGAAUCUUACCCUCAACUGUGACCCUUUCACCCCAACUCCAAAAUCACCCUGAUCUGUCCCAGACACACAUACACAUUCUUAACCACACAAGUGCCAAUUCAGUCACCUUCAUCGCUCAGCUCUCAUUCCACACCAAACAAAUUUAGUAUGUGUAAGUGAGUAGGCAAUCAGUGAAUAUUGAAGGUAACACUUCAUUUCUGGAUGUUCUUCUCGAUUAAAUAUUUCAUACAAUCGUACGUCACUUUUACCGUAAAACUGUCAAUUAAAUGCCUAACAAAUUCAGUUAUUUCUACCGCUGAGCCUGUUCAAGGGUGAGCAUGGGGAAAGAAGCAGCCUCAGAUGCUCCUUAAAUAAUUUUAUCCUAAUCAAUCAUUCUGAUCGAACCGCUGGGUAAAGAUACUCAAAAGGGUCCCUCCGACAGUUGACUCCACUAUGGUGUUCUCACUUUGUCAUAUCAAUACAUUUGUUAUUCAAGUCCUAUCGCAUUUGUCAUCUCGUUAACUGUCAUUUUGUGUGACUCUUAUGCCGCAUUAUUCUUAAUCGUCAAAAGUUUCCAUGGCUGUUAUUCCUUGAACUUAUCGGACUUUCUGACACCAGAAUUCCCCGUGAGGUGUAAUUAACUUCUAAUUUUAUUAAUUAAUAAUAAUCAGGUCCAUUGUACAAUCUAGCCACCUCUUGACUGCAUCCUAUUGGGUCCUAAUGUCCUAUUUUCAUCUCCAAUCAGGGCUCGAAGCUUAUUUUUUGCCCAAGUUGCCCUCGGGCAAGUUGGAGAAAAUUUUACUUGCCCGAAACAAAAUUUUACUUGCCCGAAUUUUUUUGGAGUGGAUUUUUACUUGCCCGACACAUUUUUGCAAUAAAAAAGACAACACUAUAAGUUUUGCCUUCAUAUGCCUUCGUAUCCGCCAACCGGAAACAAGCUCUGCUGGUGCGCAGGCGCAGAAGAGCCAGGGACGGGUGAGAGAGCAUGCAUUUAAUUACGAAGCGCUUUGCCGUUAUCAAUGUAUUGCAGACUUACACGAGAAACUAACCGCUCCCUAGAAAACAAAAUGUCGGACCAGAAGCGGCAGAAGUUGCGAGAAAUUAUGCACAAAAUCGUCUUUUUACAGCUUGAAAACAUGGUAUUCUGGCAGGGCAAGUUCGGGCAAGUGAGGAAAAAAUUCUACUUGCCCGUCUGCCAUCGCUACUUGCCCCGGGCAAUCGGGCAAUCGUUAGUUUCGAGCCCUGCCAAUUUGUCAAUGACUCUAUGUCUAAUUGUUAAGCUGGAUGGACUAAAUGUGAUUCUACUCUUUAUUUCGUACAAUUUAGCCUAUCUGUUUUAUCCAAAUUUAUCCUCUGAUUAUGAUGUUUUUACACUACACCUUUUGUUCCUGAUUUAUUUAUUUAUCUUUUAUCAAGACUCCUCAGUUGUGUCAAGUUCAGUGCCCAAGCGAGCUUCCAUUCACUUUGACCCAAGCCCACCAAAUUUGGUUACGCCUCAGCAAGGAGUCCAGUUUGCUUGUUGCACAUUUCAGGUCUCAUGGUUCUUUCGCCGCACCUCAUUGUCAAGUUGUUGUCUUUAGUUGUAGCCUCAGAGCCAACUCAUUCCUCACUCUCGGAUGAGUCCAUUUUCAACUGAGUCCAUUCACAUCUUGUAAGUUUCUUCACUCUCGCCUCAGAGGAUGUCGUUUUCCUCCGGAGCGUUGUGCUCCCCCCAAGCACAAAUAUAGUCCAUCUUUGCUCUUGCAAAAGGUCAAAGGUGCUUCAGAGCCUUGCACCGUUUUCUUGUUGUUCUCAGCUGUCGGUGGAGUCUCGGGAUCGAGUUUCAGGGUCACUGCUGGAUACUGGAAAAGACAGACUGGGACACCAAACUUAAAUAUCGUCUUCCAAUUAGCCAUUAAUUACCUAGUACCUUUUGUUAAUCAAACUUCCAAUUCUCCUAUUAACAACAAUUUAAUAUAUUUGAGAAAAACGUUUCCUUUCCUUCAUGAGUUCUCGGCUGUAUUGUGAUGGACCUUAUUUGAACAAUUUUAAAGUGGCAGAUUACCGCAAACUUAAAAUUUCAAGUCUUAACUGUGAUUUCUCUCAAUUAUACUGUGAUUUCCAGAAGCUCAUCCUAAUUUCAGGCUACAUUCUAUUGUUUGUUUUCCUGCCUUUGAUUUUAUGCAAUCCUCUCUAUCAUCUUUUCACCUUUGCUGAUUUGAGCCUUCAAUUUCAGAUAAAGUUUCCCAAUUUUGCGUACAGAAUGUACAUUAUUCAUAAUUAAGUCAUGUUCCAAACAUUGCAUCCUCUCUGGUUUGACCUCAGUAUUAUUGGUGUUAUGCUCACUUACUGGACUAUCUUGAAUUUUUAACUCUCCGCCACUACAUCGAAGGCCAUUUCUCAGCUGUUCACUUUUCCCAUGCUCCAGUUAGGCUCCAUUACUCGAAUCUAGAAUGUGAUUUUCAUUUGAGUUUCUUACUUUUGGACUUCUAAAAUGCUCCUAUCGCUAAUUUAUUUGUACCGAGCAUACUCUUACAAGAGUAUUAAAAGAACCAACAGAUUACUACCAAAUCCAAUCUCUCCUCGUUGGCAUCUCCUCCUCUAUUUCGAACUUGCUGCUUUUGACCUGUGCGUCUUGUUACAGUGGGCACUGGUCAGCCUUGUCGGGCCAACGCAAUUUACGAGCAGGCUCUCCAUGCAUACAAUUCAGUCCUAUGUCUAAAUCCAGAGAAUUCCUUUAAUUCCAGCUGCUGCUGUGGCCCUCACUUGAUACCUCUCUUGCUCUCAUAAAUUAGUGUUGACCGGUUGAGUUUUCUUUAGACACUCAAAUCACCUAUAUUUGUGUUGUAGUGGUUAGCCCUCGCAUGCUCCUACUCCACGUGUUAGACGGCUGUUAAACAUUAAUUCUAAGUUCAUGCUGUGUCUCUAUGUCCUCCUGGAGACAACGGAUGUAUCCGCCGUCUCAGGUUUUUUAUGUAACUAGAAAAUCCAAAGUAUUGAGGAGAGUCCCAAAGAAACGAGUAUCAAUAAUUCGUUCUCAAUUUUGUCAUCCUUUCAGCAAUUUAAAUUAAUAAGUUGAGCUUUUCUUCAGAUCAAAUUUCCUAUUCCUCUCAGAAUGCUAAAAGGAGCUUCAGCUGGCCUUAGAGGGGUCCCCCAUUAUUUACGAGGGGGCCACACUCUUCUGCCACCGCUUGCUGUCGUCCCAGCAUGUUUUUCCAUAGAUACAUCUAUAUUGGAUUGGUUAACACACGCAUGCUCCUAUUUCUCCUGUUGGUCAUGCCUUCUUUUGCUCCUUCAGCAUUCCGUCUUCCAUCAUUUUGUCAGAGUUCCUUUCGCUGCUGGCCGCGCAGGCCCCUAACAUUGGCACAACUCCAGCCGUUCGCACCGCCCCGACGUCACCCGCGCGGGGAGGGGCCAGCCUGAAACACAGUGGGCAGGUACAGGUUGGCCACCCUGCCGCCCAGGGGGCCGGAUCCCUCUCCCCGCGCGUGCAGCGCAGGUGGGCACGCGCCCAAAGCAACGAGAGCACACCAUCCUUAUCCGUUCCUUUUGCUGCUUCUACAAGCACUCGCUCACACCCAUGCGCGCUCAUGAGCAUAACCACACACACGCACGCACUCACGAGCACGCACACACACCCAUUUACACACGCACGCACACACACACGCACGCACACACGCAUACACACACACACGCACACUUACGGGGCCCAACAAAUACACACUUCAAGCAUCCAUUCAUUCAGAAGCUCAAACAGACAACAUUAAGCUGACAGAGUUCACAAAAAUUACACACGGACACAGAAGACAUACAACGGGAUUCGAAUCCAGUCCACAUUUUGCUUCUUUCCAACUGCCGCUUAGCAGUUUGGUCAUUUUAACUGUCAUCAGAGCAGAUGCACUGACAAAUACGCACGUCUUACUUAACUUUUGUUUCGUUUCGUGUCGUUCCUGAUAGCGCUGUAUAUUUCCCCUUUAUUCUGCAGAAUUUAAAGUGUGCACACAAAUUUCUUUUUCUCCCAUGGUAUAUCACUAUUAAACCCCCCAGAGGCCUCUUUUCCACGUUUUCCAUUUUUCACACAGCAGCCGCACAAAACCUUUGUCCAAUAGCGGUUUUGUCGCAAGCUCAAAUUUAUCAAACUUUGACAGACGUGCAUGCUAUUACAGUACGCCUCGACAAAUCGGGAUCGCACCGUUGCCGCGAAAACGCACCAGCUGCCUCGGUAUUCAAAAAUGACAGCCCACCGGGUUUAGCUAUCAUUUCCUUGCACCAGCGUUUAAAUCGAGGAGCCUUGUAACCCACAAACACUUCUAAUUCGAUCAGUAUCCAAACGACGUGGCUUACGCGCGCUUUAUUUUCCUCGGUACCCUUAAAAUCUGACCGGAUCUCGGCACCCAUAACUGGGUCUGACCGGGUCACUUCCACAUUCAUGCUCACAGUUACGGAUGCCAAGGCUGUGCACUUUUCCUAUCUGCCAAACGCGGUCAGCGCAAGCCUCCCUUUUUUGUUGGACUUUUUACGGAGACUAACCCGGCCACCGAAAAUCUCGACAGGUGCGCACUUGGCCCGUACGGCCACUGAGUGCGACUGCAGUACACACAAAUUAAGUAUGCACUUAUCCCUUGAUGUUAUUGUUAUGCAAAUGAAGUGCAGGUGUCACGAGGGGGAGGGGCUGUAAGUGUCAUGGGAGAAGGGGGUGCAGGUGUUUUAGGGGGAGGGGCUGUAUGGGGGAAGGGGUGCAGGUGUUUUAGGGGGAGAGGCUGCAAGUGUUGUGGGGGGAGGUGCUGCAGUGUCACUAAGAUAACACUAGAGGGCGGCAUUUGCAUAGGAAAAAAAAAUAAAAAAUUGAGAUGGAGAGGUGUAGUGUUGGGGGAUGUCUAGGUGUUUUUUAGAGAGGGGGGUGGACCUACUGUUGGUAAGGUGGGGCUAUUGAUCGUUUUGAGAAGACACGCCAGCAGAUGAGCUCUGAUCGGAAGGAGUUGGAGCGCGUCAAAAGUUGGAGAGCGUCAAAAGUUGUUUCGAGAUGGUUAAAGGUAAGCCUUUUUAAUACUGGUAUAAUAAUAAUAAUAAUAAUACACUGAGGUUAUCAUAUAAAACAUGAUGUAAUGUGUAUGUAAUGUCAUGCAGAUAUAACCGUGUUUGCUGACGUGCAUGCAGUAUUUGACGACGACUUUAGCGGAGUUUAUUUAACACAAUCAGACUACGAUCUCGUGGCGGCUGCUACUAGGCAAAAAAAACCACUGAUACAGACUGGUUUGGAGGCAGAACUAUCAGAGCAGCGUGAUUUCGGCCAAAUCAUACCCCCCUCCGGCCGACAGGAGGUUGUCACGAGCUCUGCACAUCAUUUUGAAGCAACGAAAACAGCAGAGUUAUCAGAGCUACGUGAUAGCAGUCAAAUCAUACCCCCCUCCGACCAGCAGGCGGCUGUCACGAGCAUAGAGACGGAAGAGGGAGCAUCCACAGACAUAGAAUUGGCGGACGCUUUAUCUGCUUACGAAGACCUUCCUCAAGAAUCGAUAAACAAAGUCAGAGUUAAGCGUUGUGGAACGGGACUGCUUCAAAGAGCGAGAAAGAGCAGACGUGCAGCCUUCUACUCAACUACUAAGGGGCCUGAAUCGACAAACGAGAGCCAUCACCAUAAGACAAGGCGUGCUAUAAAGUGCAGUGGUAAUUGUGUUUACAAAAAACGGUUACAAGAAUGUUUUAAGGUAAUACGUAUUUUGACAGAUUUAGCUGAAUCAAGAUAGGUCUGUUUUUUUUUUUGUGUUGUUUAUAUUGUAAUCUCUAUCAAAAAGAAAUACAAUGGAUCAUGCUAACCUUACGUCAGCAGAGUCGGAUUUCUUAACAAACAUUGACGAAUUAGAUUUACAGCUACUUUGUGAUACGCCUGAGCUAGAUUUGUCAAACAUUAACAAUGAUUUACCGUCAACCAGUGCUUCUACAAGCCAAAUACCAGAUUUGGUCAACAUUGUAAACAAUGCCAUGCAGGAAGGGGGAGACACAGACAGUCCUGAUAUUCAGGCUCACUUACAAGCUGUCGUAAACGAGCUAAACAGUCAAAGCCGGAAUGACGGCAGCCAAAGUCCUACACUGAUACCGUCACAACUGCUAAACAUGAUAGCAGAAUUAAACAACCAAACUAACGGUAACAGCGGGCGUAACAGUCCUGAUAUUCCUGCUCAACUGUUACACAUGAUCCAAAAUCUAAAUACGCAGCCUCUGAUUGACCGAAUGACCGUUAACCCCAUAGAUCAUGAGAUAGAUGCUUCUGUGAUAACUGGUAACAUGCCACCAUCAUUUCAGCCUAACAACUGCUCUGUUAUAACCGAUCACGAGAUAGAUGUUAUUGACAACAACGCAGCAGCGUUUCAAGACAUAGCCCACCAAUCUAACAACAAUGCUUCUGUAAUAACUAAUCAGCGCGGCGGCUCUGUUGUAGUAAAUAGACCGCAUUUCAAUAAUAUUGAGAUAAGGCGGCAUUUGAAUAUACCAUCACAGGUAAACAGCAAUGAUUUUGCAACCUUUUACCUACAGAUUGAGGAUAGAAUAGAUGAAGUCUUGCGAGAGGUUGAUAUGCAAACACAGAGAGGUGACGUGAUUCAAAUCGAGUUAGUGGCUGGAAAUGAUAGGGCUCACGUUUACCCGCAAAAAAGCGACAUAAACACUAUCCGUGAUAAUGUAUCGGAUCUGCUUGAACGUCUAGCUCAAUCAAAUGUAGAGCUUCUAGCUGAUGAGAAUUUAGAGCUUAUUGUCCAAAUAGUCAAACCGAUCCGUGGCGGAAUGCGUCGUCGACUGAUGAACAGUACCAACAAAGAAAUUGACGCGUAAAAAACGACAUUUGCACAUACCUCGUAAUAAGGACAACAAUCUAUGCUUUGCUCUUUCACUAACCUAUCUGCUAAAUGACACGCUAACAUCAAAACAGGCCGUAAGGCAAGCCAGACUUUUGCAUCAGAGUGUGGGUUUAGAUUGUCAAACACCUGUGAGUCUGGGGGAUGUACAUAAAUUUGAAAAAGUUCUCAGACGGAAAAUAACUGUCAUGUACCGAAAAGAAGACAGCCGCCCCAUGACUUUCUUCGACACACAUUACCCUAAAACAGAUGAAGACACUUUAUUUGUUUUACACCUCGAGAAUCAUUACUACGGUGUGAAAACGAUAGAGGCAUUCGUGGGGUAUGCAUAUUUUUGCAGAUAUUGUUACAGAGGGCAUGAAAAUUGGCAACGCCAUCAAUGUGAGGGACACUGUAACAUUUGUCUCGAUCCUCGUUGUAAACAACGACGAUUUAAACAUGUUAUCUGCCCUGCUGUAACAAAACUUGUCGUAAUGAAGAAUGCUUUACCAAACAUAAAGAGUUUCGAGCGACGAAUCGUGUGAGUAACUGCACCACAUACAAAAAGUGCUUGCAAUGCGGGCUCCAAUAUUAUGUGAAAGCUGAUGGUACCGGUGCUAAACAUCGCUGCCCCGUGAAAAGAUGCGCGGUGUGUAGUGAGAUCUUAAACCAAGAUGAUGAUGUCUUACUAAACCCUCACCUGUGUUACAUGCAGCCCAUCAAGCCUCAACAGCCUUGCAAAAAUGUAGUCUACUAUGAUUUUGAAACUUAUGUAGAUGCAGAUGGUUUACACAACCCCUUUCUUAUCUGCUGUAAAUCAAAUAGACUGACGAAACAGUGGUUUGGGACAGACCGUGUUGACAAAUUCCUCACAUUUUUUCGAAACCCCCGGUUUAAACAAACGACAUUUGUUGCACAUAAUGCGAGAGGUUUUGAUUCCUACAUCUUGAUAAAGAGAAUGCUUGAAUUAGGUAUCAAACUUGACAUUCUGAUGCAAGGGAGUAAGGUUCUAUCAUUCGUCGAUUUAGACACAAAAUCUCGUUAUAUCGACUCAUUGUCAUUCUUAACGAUGCCGCUAAGUGCGAUGCCUAAGGCCCUGGGGCUUGAAGACAAAUCAAAGGGUUGUUUCCCACAUAAAUUUAGCUCUUUAGAACAUCUAAACUACGUAGGAUGUCACCCUGACCCUACAUACUACAAUGUCGAACGAAUGUCACCCUCUCAACGAGCUAAGUUUGAUGAAUGGUAUGUCAAAGAAGCUAACGGUGUGUUUGAUUUUGCUAAACAGGCGCUAACCUACUGUGAGAAUGAUGUUGAUUUGUUAAUGCAAGGAUGUGAGAAAUUCAGGAGCGAGUAUUUUGAGGCUACAAGAACAGACCCUUUCAACGCCGUCACAAUAGCCUCGGCUUGCAUGAAAGUUUUUCGCACUAAUUUCCUAACUCCUGAAACACUAGCUAUUACACCUUCAGACAACUACAUGCGACAGUACAAAGCUUUCUCACACGAUUCUAUUCAAUACAUGCAAUGGGUCAUGGAUAGUCAAAAUAUCCACAUUAGACAUGCGUUGAACGGGGGAGAAGUUAAGAUCCAUAACUACACUGUAGACGGGUAUUCUGAAAUUGGGGGGAUGAAAAUAGUUUUUGAGUAUUUUGGUUGUUAUCACCAUGGCUGCCCAGAAUGCUACAACCUCUCUAAUAUAUGUCCAACAACAAAACGUCCCUUUCAGGAAAGGUUUGACAACACCCAAAAGAAAAUUCAGGAACUGCAGCUUAAACAAGAUGUGCACCUUGUAAUUAUGUGGGAGCACGAAUGGUUGCAAAUGAAAAAAUUGAACACAGAGGUUAAGGAAUUCCUGAAAAAAGCCAAAUUUCCUACACCUCUCAAACCAAGGCAGGCUCUUUUUGGAGGUCGAACAAACACGUUUGUUUUAAGAUACACGGCAGAAGCUGACGAGAGGGUGUUGUACGUCGAUGUGACAUCAUUAUAUCCUUUCAUUAAUAGUACAGGUAUCUACCCUAUUGGUCAUCCAACGAUUAUCCACAGUGAUUUUAAAGACCCAAGACUGUAUUUCGGCUUCAUAAGCGCUACCGUCAAUCCACCUCGUGGUUUGUAUUUUCCUGUUUUACCUUUCAAAACAGCUAAAGGUAAACUUGUCUUCACACUGUGUCGUACAUGCGCUGAGCAUAACAACCAGCAGACAGCUUGUACGCAUAAUGAUGAGCAGAGAUCGUUAACAGGUGUUUGGACAACUCCUGAAUUUGUUAAGGCACUUGAUCUUGGCUACAGUGUUGCUGAUAUUACAGAAGUAUGGCAUUACACAAGAGCGAGCGACACAAUUUUCCGUGAUUACAUGCGAACAUUUCUAAAAGGUAAACAGGAAUCUUCAGGCUAUCCAGCGCAUGCGGUCAAUCAAGCUGAUAGAGAAAAUUACAUACAGAGCUACGCGAUUCAUCAGGGUAUCCAACUGGACCCUUCCAAAAUUGCUGUAAAUCAUGGGAAACGUCAGGUUUCGAAACUUUGUCUAAACAAUCUAUGGGGAAAACUAGCCCAGCGUGAGAACAUGACAAACACAAAAAUUGUGACAAAAUCUGAGGAGUUUUUUGAUCUUCUGUUUUCCGGUUUGUACGAUGUGAAAUUCUUCCACUUUAUCAGCGAAAAGCUUUCGGGUGUACAAUAUUGUUUCAACAUAAACAAUGAGAUACCAGCCUCAAAAACAUCAAACGUGGCGGCUGCGUGUUUCACAACCGCUUAUGCACGUCUAAAAAUGUACAACUAUCUAGAAAUUUUACAGACGCGCGUUCUUUACACUGACACAGUGUACACGGUCAAACCUGGCGAAACUGUCCUCCCGCUAGGGGAUUAUCUGGGCGAUUUGACAGAUGAGCUUUCGAAUGACAGCAUUUCAGAAUUUGUCUCAGCAGGGCCGAAAACAUACGCUUACAAGACAAGGGCAACAAACCGCACCGUCAUGAAGGUAAAGGGUAUCACACAGACUCACGAAAGCGGUCAGAGCGUCAAUCUUGACAGCAUGCUCGAUUUGGUUCAGGGGUACAUCGACACAGCAGGUGCAGUCUCAGACGUGCUUUACGCACCCCAACAUGGCAUUGUUCGCAAUAAGAGAGGGUUUCAUCUCAGAAACACAUCGUUUUCCAAGCGGCUUCGUGUGGUCUACGACAAAAGAAGAUUGCUCAAUCAAGGCCGCACUGAACCAUUUGGUUAUUGAAAAUGGCUUUUAACCAGAUUGAAUUUGACCCUAGAUUAGAACUUCCUUUUUCAUCGUUAAUAGCAGGGCCUUCAGGUUGUGGCAAGACGUUUUUUGUUAAAAAUGUUAUAGAAAAUCUUGAACAUGUUAUGAGAAAAAAACCUGAUAAUAUUGUCUGGGUUUAUACUUCAUAUCAACCAAUGUACGAUGAGCUCAAAAACAUGAAUAAAGACAUCGUUUUUAUCAA